UACGGAGGGGGCGAGCGUUAUUCGGAAUUAUUGGGCGUAAAGGGCGCGUAGGCGGCUAGAUGUGUCAAAGGUGAAAUCCCUCGGCUCAACUGAGGAACUGCCUUUGAAACUGUCUGGCUUGAGGCCGGGAGAGGGUAGCGGAAUUCCCAGUGUAGCGGUGAAAUGCGCAGAUAUCGGGAGGAACACCAAUGGCGAAGGCAGCUCGCUGGGACGGUACUGACGCUGAGACGCGAAAGCGUGGGGAGCAAACAGG
rnacentral:rRNA from 1 species